ensembl:lncRNA
AUGAAUCACUCACUCUUUCACCAAGUGAUCAAAUUAUUCCCAUUAAAUAAUUUGCUUCAACAAAAACAGUAUAUACACAAAAAUAACAGUUGCAUCAUGUGCGUAUCAGGUGAACCAGGCCAACCAGGUGUGCCCGGUACCCCUGGAAGCUCUGAGAGAGUGUCGACUUACAGCGCAGGAAACGGGAUCCCUGGACCACCGGGUCCACCGGGACGUCCUGGACUUCCUGGGCCACAAGGAAUUAAAGGGGACACAGGAGCUCCUGGCUUUUCUGGCUCUUCAAGAGGCUCCAUCUCAGUCACCUCAGGGCCUCCCGGCCCGGCAGGUCCUCCGGGUCCUCCUGGCCCCACGGGCUCCUUUUCAACUUCUAGUGAGAUGCGUCUGUACAUCAGUGACUAUCUAAGUAGAAGCAGACAGUCUAGUAUCCCCGGACCUCCAGGUCCACCUGGACUUCCAGGAACCCCAGGAACCCCAGGAACCUUCUCAGGCUCUAUCGAUGACAUCGCCACUCGUGUCAUUGCAUAUCUACAACGUUCUGGCUCAGGCUCCAGCAUUGGUCGUCAGGGUCUUCCAGGACCACCUGGUCCACCUGGACCCGGCUCUGGGUCCCUGACGGUCAGCGGUCUCAUUAUGAUGCUUCAGAGAGACGAUGUGAGGAGAUAUCUAUCCGGACCACCAGGGCCACAAGGACCACCGGGACCACCCGGCCAAUCAGGUGGCAUUUCAAGCAGUUACAAUAUCGAGGAGAUAGCCACAUACGUCUUUAAUACGAUGAGAGAAAGAGGGAUUGCAAGAGGUCCGCCCGGACCGCCCGGUCCUGCUGGGCCUGCUGGUGCCGGGGGCUCUGGCUUCACUACCGCUACGAUUGACUAUACCGCACUGAUGAGAAAUUCAGACUUCCGCUCUUGGAUUAAUUCGGCGGUACAACACGGCCCUCCUGGUUCGCCUGGUGUCCCGGGGCAACCUGGCCCCCCUGGUCCUCAGGGGCCAGCAGGAGUCUCCACUUCCACUGUGGUUGGGUCGGGAGGUCGUGGCUACAGUUUGGAGGAAAUUCAGCGUUACCUGCAGAGUUCUGGUUUCCGAGGUAUUGCCGGCCCUCCUGGUCCUCAGGGUCCACAGGGACCUCAGGGUCCACCAGGCAGUUACAGUGGACUGAUUUCCUAUGAUGGAAAUCGGGAGCGUCUUCGCGCCGAAGUUCAAGAGUACCUGACCAGUGACGUUGUCCGUCGUUCCAUCAUUGGACCCCCGGGUUCUCCAGGGCCGAGGGGUCAGAAGGGAGAACAAGGAGAGCCGGGCUACACCCAGGGCUACGCCCAGAGCCAGAGCUACGCCGCGAGUGACCCUAGAUACGGCUCUGAGCGCCGCAGUGCCGACAUCAGCAGGCUCGCUGAGAACCUGGAUUACUCCAGCGUCGCCAUAAAAGUCACAGACUACAUCAAGAAUCAAGGCCUGCUGCAGGAGUAUCUGGUUGAGGGCCCUUUGAGGGCGAAUGUGAGAGCAAUCCAAGGCCCUCCCGGUCCACCUGGCCCCGCCGGACCUCCCGGUCAGAGCCGCGUCAUCGGUUCCUAUGGCAACGUCACGGCUGACCUCAUGGCGUUCUUCAGAACGUACGGCACCAUCUCCGGACCUCCAGGGGGCCCUGGACCAAAGGGUGACAGAGGGUACCCGGGACCCAGAGGAGAAAAGGGUGACCCCGGGCACCCAGGUUUGGCGGGACUACCGGGGGCCUACACUGUCCAAAUUCCACACCGGGUGCAGAAAAGGGAUGCAGGUGGUAAAGUCGUUGGUCGUCGCCACCGUCGUCACGCCAACGGUGGCUAA